UAAGAUCCUCUUUCCCAACUAGUUAACAAGGACUAUCCCAAAGAAAAAGAUCCAGCUUCCAAUUUUUGCCUCUCAAAAAACCAAAAAAAGAUAAAACUGGUGCGACAGCGCUGCUUCUCAUCUCGUCGUGCAACUGUGAGCAAGCUGAUUUGUGUUGACAAAAUCCUGUACUGAUACAGAGCCGCACUUAUUUCCUCAAAUGCAAGAUGCUCCUCCUCACCAUGACGCUGCAGCAGAGUCGAACUCUUCAGAGUUAUCUGGGAUCUGCAUACUUGCCAACAGCCGAGUCACCUGACGCAUUCGGAUAAGCGUACACCCACCCGUGUCGGCCGUAGUGCGCCAACUGCUCCUGUGCACGCUCUCAUGCAACGGUAAAUGAGAGUAGGUGUCAACUCAAGCCAUGAUCUGAAUAUUUUGCCCAGGAACGCACGCCGCCGGUGCCAGAGAGCUGUGAACAUGCGAUCUUCAUUCCGAAGCAUGGCUUGGGCACCACCAUGUGAAAGUUGAGAGAGAUCAUCUACAAACAAACAAUGCGUCAGGAAGUGAUUAUAUUUGAUCUGGGGUGUUGGUGCCCACGAUGUCACUGACUAGGAGGGCUAAAUAGCACCGAGCACCCAUAUCAUUAUGCGCAGUACUUGCCAGAUGUAACCGAGCAGUAUCAAGGAUUUGUCAAAUAUCCAGGCUGUGCCAAGCGAGACAAGCUAUGCCGUUACAAAUGCAUGCAUACUGUGGACCUGGCCUAGACCAUACAAUAUCAAGGUCUGCGAUUCUGUGUUUUACAGAAAACAACUCAACAAAAGAUCGAUGUGCGUAACUUCGAGCUGCACUACAGUCCUGCAGGCGUAACAGCAAGACUUAAAAGAAUCAAAGCAGCACUUCAAAAGGAAAUUUUGUAAAUGAUUUCCGAUGUUUCACCGUACAGCCUUUGGCAAGGAGCACACACGCACCCCCCCCAGCCUCCUUUCUUUGGAGCCGUACAGAUGGCAGUUUAACUUUUUUCCUCUUUUUCUCGCCAGCUACGGGAUGUAUAUAGAGUAUGCUGUAUAUCGAGUAGCCAUUUACAGCAGGAUACCAGGCACCGGCGCAGCAUUACAUCCCACGCCUCCUAUUGCAAACAACCGCGCAUUUCCUGCAGUUGAGAGUUCAAGGUAAACAAACAGUUCAGAUUGAAGCACUUCCACAGCAGCACGAAAAAAAAUAAAACCCCCCACUGCAUUUCUUUUUCGUCUGGAUUUACACUUGCCCGUUCCUCCCGUUUAGAAACACCGAGCACCCCCGACUGCCCUGACAGCUCCUCGGACGACGCCUGGCUCCUGUCCUGACAGCCCUUGCAAGGAAAGGCGCUCCCGAGGAGCUCACCCGCGGCUGGGCGCCGGAGGACCGGGCCC